rnacentral:lncRNA from 1 species
CGUUCAAGGCAUCGCAAUCAAUACAAUACAAAGGUUCCAAACAGGAACAGUAUUCAACAAACAGAUUGCAUAAGGAAGGUAUCAACAACAUAACACAUCCUAUGUUAUUACACACAUUCACAUUCAUAGGUUUUUACAUCACAGUUCUCAUUUGAUUCCUCCAAAUACAAUCCAAGUUAUUACAUCGUUUACUUAUUAUAAUUUGAUACACUGUGUUCUUUUCUUUUCCCCAU